UCUUAGGCUUCACUAGAAGCCACCAUUUAUAUAAAUAUAUCUGUGU
rfam:Eimeria mitis, Houghton, WGS project CBTT01000000 data, contig: Emh_contig1428_2